GACGAACGCUGGCGGUGUGCUUCACACAUGCAAGUCGAACGAGGUAGCAAUACCUAGUGGCGGACGGGUGAGUAAACGCGUGGGAAUCUGCCUUUAGAUGGGGGAUAACGGGUCGAAAGACUCGCUAAUACCGCAUAUGACGAAAGUUGAAAGGAGUAAUCCGUCUAAAGAUGAGCCCGCGUCCGAUUAGCUAGUUGGUAGAGUAAAAGCCUACCAAGGCGACGAUCGGUAGCUGGUCUGAGAGGAUGAUCAGCCACAAUGGGACUAGAGACACGGCCCAUACUCCUACGGAGGCAGCAGUGGGAAUUUUACGCAAUGGGCGAAAGCCUGACGUAGCGACACCGCGUGAGCGAAGAAGCCCUGGGU
rnacentral:rRNA from 1 species